GAGAUCCAGAAACAUCCAGAAGUAAGAAACUUUGGGCAAUGGUGAAUGUAUCAAACCUUGUGCAAGAGACCCUGCAAUUGCUGAAAAAGGGAAGAUGAGGGAGCAGGAAAGCAGAGACACAAGGUCAUGUGUGCCUGCCAGAGGACUCAGCUCUCCCAACUUCCAGUCUCGUGAUGAAACUUAGAGGAUAAGACUUCCCGCUUACUUGUUUAUAAAGUGAAAAAUUUCAAUCUAGGAUCUGUGCUUUUAUUGAUAUAAAGAACUUCCACUGAGGAAACUCUCUUUACCAGUGCAUAUUGGUGCCUGCUCUGCAAUUUAUUGUUUUAGAGAUUUUCUUGGGGUUACUGAGAGGUCAAGUUAUUUGCUCAGGUCACACAGCCAAUACUUGUUAGAAAUGGGAAUUGAACCCAGCUGGCUCACCCAUAAAUGAGGUGUAAAGGAAAUCAUAAAUUUGCCAAAAAAAAUCCUUCACUGUGUCUGCUGUGUAUUUACAGCCCCCAAACCUUAAAUAUUUCCUCAGGUCUGUGGUUAUAUAUGUUUGAUUCUACUGACACUAGGCUGACCCAGAACAACUGACUUUGAACAAAUGAAAUUAAAGUGAGCUGGUUUCCCCAUAUUUAUUUUGUUCUCUGACAGAUGUGUGCUAGAUUUCGUGUAAUACACAUACAUUUCAUUGCCUUCUUAUGUUGCAUUUUAAAUUUUGUGGUUUCAAGAAUGGAUAUAACA